rnacentral:rRNA from 1 species
GUGCACCAGGCGAGAAUUUUUCUCAAUGGGCGAAAGCCUGAAGGAGCGACGCCGCGUGGGGGAUGAAUGGCUUCGGCCCGUAAACCCCUGUCAUUUGUGAACAAAUUGCUUCACCUAACACGUGAAGCAUUGAUUGUAACGGAAGAGGAAGGGACGGCUAACUCUGUGCCAGCAGCCGCGGUAAUACAGAGGUCCCAAGCGUUGUUCGGAUUCACUGGGCGUAAAGGGUGCGUAGGCGGUUUGAUAAGUCUGAUGUGAAAUCCCGCAGCUUAACUGCGGAACUGCAUUGGAAACUAUUUGACUAGAGGAAUGGAGGGGAGACUGGAAUACUUGGUGUAGCAGUGAAAUGCGUAGAUAUCAAGUGGAACACCAGUGGCGAAGGCGAGUCUCUGGACAUUUCCUGACGCUGAGGCACGAAAGCCAGGGGAGCAAACGGGAUUAGAUACCCCUGUAGU